UACGUAGGGUGCGAGCGUUAAUCGGAAUUACUGGGCGUAAAGCGUGCGCAGGCGGUGAUGUAAGACCGAUGUGAAAUCCCCGGGCUUAACCUGGGAACUGCAUUGGUGACUGCAUUGCUGGAGUAUGGCAGAGGGGGGUGGAAUUCCACGUGUAGCAGUGAAAUGCGUAGAGAUGUGGAGGAACACCGAUGGCGAAGGCAGCCCCCUGAGCCAAUACUGACGCUCAUGCACGAAAGCGUGGGGAGCAAACAGG
rnacentral:rRNA from 1 species